UACGUAGGGUGCAAGCGUUUGUCCGGAAUUAUUGGGCGUAAAGAGCUCGUAGGCGGUUUGUCGCGUCGGCUGUGAAAACUCGGGGCUUAACCCCGGGCCUGCAGUGGGUACGGGCAGACUAGAGUGCGGUAGGGGAGACUGGAAUUCCUGGUGUAGCGGUGAAAUGCGCAGAUAUCAGGAGGAACACCGGUGGCGAAGGCGGGUCUCUGGGCCGUAACUGACGCUGAGGAGCGAAAGCAUGGGGAGCGAACAGG
rnacentral:rRNA from 1 species